AUUGAACGCUGGCGGAAUGCUUUACACAUGCAAGUCGAACGGUAGAGGGGGCAACCCCUCGAGAGUGGCGAACGGGUGAGUAAUAUAUCGGAACGUGCCCAGUCGUGGGGGAUAACGUAGCGAAAGUUACGCUAAUACCGCAUACGAUCUAAGGAUGAAAGCGGGGGAUCGCAAGACCUCGCUCGAUUGGAGCGGCCGAUAUCAGAUUAGGUAGGUGGUGGGGUAAAGGCUCACCAAGCCAACGAUCUGUAGCUGGUCUGAGAGGACGACCAGCCACACUGGAACUGAGACACGGUCCAGACUCCUACGGGAGGCAGCAGUGGGGAAUUUUGGACAAUGGACGCAAGUCUGAUCCAGCCAUUCCGCGUGCAGGAUGAAGGCCCUCGGGUUGUAAACUGCUUUUGUACGGAACGAAAAGGUCUCUCUUAAUACGGGGGGCUCAUGACGGUACCGUAAGAAUAAGCACCGGCUAACUACGUGCCAGCCGCCGCAGUAA
rnacentral:rRNA from 1 species